rnacentral:rRNA from 1 species
GACGAACGCUGGCGGCGUGCUUAACACAUGCAAGUCGAACGGAAAGGCCCCCUUGUGGGGUACUCGAGUGGCGAACGGGUGAGUAACACGUGAGUAACCUACCCUUGACUUUGGGAUAACUUCAGGAAACUGGGGCUAAUACCGGAUAGGAGCUCCUGCUGCAUGGUGGGGGUUGGAAAGUUUCGGCGGUUGGGGAUGGACUCGCGGCUUAUCAGCUUGUUGGUGGGGUAGUGGCUCACCAAGGCUUUGACGGGUAGCCGGCCUGAGAGGGUGACCAGCCACAUUGGGACUGAGAUACGGCCCAGACUCCUACGGGAGGCAGCAGUGGGGAAUAUUGCACAAUGGGCGGAAGCCUGAUGCAGCAACGCCGCGUGCGGGAUGACGGCCUUCGGGUUGUAAACCGCUUUCGCCUGUGACGAAGCGUGAGUGACGGUAAUGGGUAAAGAAGCACCGGCUAACUACGUG